rnacentral:rRNA from 1 species
UGGGGAAUAUUGCACAAUGGGCGCAAGCCUGAUGCAGCCAUGCCGCGUGAGUGAAGUAGGCCUUAGGGUUGUAAAACUCUUUCACCGGUGAAGAUAAUGACGGUAGCCGGAGAAGAAGCCCCGGCCAACUCCGUGCCAGCAGCCGCGGUAAUACGGAGGGGGCUAGCGUUGUUCGGAAUUACUGGGCGUAAAGCGCGCGUAGGCGGGCUGGUCAGUUGGGGGUGAAAUCCCGGGGCUCAACCCCGGAACUGCCUUUGAUACUGGUAGUCUUGAGUUCGAGAGAGGUGAGUGGAAUUCCGAGUGUAGAGGUGAAAUUCGUAGAUAUUCGGAGGAACACCAGUGGCGAAGGCGGCUCACUGGCUCGAUACUGACGCUGAGGUGCGAAAGCGUGGGGAGCAAACAGGAUUAGAUACCCGGGUAGUCC